rnacentral:rRNA from 1 species
CCUACGGGAGGCAGCAGUCGGGAAUAUUGCGCAAUGGAGGAAACUCUGACGCAGUGACGCCGCGUAUAGGAAGCAGUUUUUCGGAAUGUAAACUAUUGUCGUGAGGGAAGAAAAUGACGGUACCUGAGUACGAAGCCCCGGCUAACUACGUGCCAGCAGCCGCGGUAAUACGUAGGGGGCAAGCGUUAUCCGGAUUUACUGGGUGUAAAGGGAGCGUAGACGGCAGUGCAAGUCUGGAGUGAAAGGCGGGGGCUCAACCCCCGGACUGCUCUGGAAACUGUACGGCGGGAGUGCAGGAGAGGUAAGUGGAAUUCCUAGUGUAGCGGUGAAAGGCGUAGAUAGUAGGAGGAACACCAGUGGCGAAGGCGGCUUACUGGACUGUAACUGACGUUGAGGCUCGAAAGCGUGGGGAGCAAACAGGAUUAGAUACCCGGGUAGUC